rnacentral:rRNA from 1 species
UCCUACGGGACGCAGCAGUGGGGAAUAUUGGACAAUGGGGGAAACUCUGAUCCAGCGACGCCGCGUGAGCGAAGAAGUAUUUCGGUAUGUAAAGCUCUAUCAGCAGGGAAGAAAAUGACGGUACCUGACUAAGAAGCCCCGGCUAACUACGUGCCAGCAGCCGCGGUAAUACGUAGGGGGCAAGCGUUAUCCGGAUUUACUGGGUGUAAAGGGAGCGUAGACGGCAUAGCAAGUCUGAUGUGAAAGAUCGGGGAUCAACCCCGGGCCUGCAUUGGAAACUGUUAAGCUGGAGUAGAGGAGAGGGA